UCGCUCCUACCGAUUGGGCGAUCCGGUGAAUUAUUUGGAGUUUUGACGAUUUCUUUCGGAAACCUGCCAAUUCAAAUUUUUGUGAACCUUAUUGCUUAGAGGAAGGAA
rnacentral:rRNA from 1 species